rnacentral:sRNA from 1 species
GCCAGACAUGGUGGCCCUCGCCUGUAAUCCCAGUGGCUUGGGAGGCUGAGGCAGGAGGAUCACAAGUUCAAAGCCAGCCUCAACAAAAGCAAGGCACUAGCACCUCAGUGAGACCCUGUCUCUA